CCCAGACAGCCAGGAUGUUGGCUUAGAAGCAGCCAUCAUUUAAAGAAAGCGUAAUAGCUCACUGGUCGAGUCGGCCUGCGCGGAAGAUGUAACGGGGCUAAACCAUGCACCGAAGCUGCGGCAGCGAACGUAUCACUUAAAGCGAUUCAGCGGGUUACGAUUGACGGAGCGAAGCGACGUCAAAGCGUAUACAAAGUCGAGUCGGUUUAAGGAUACGUUCGUUGGGUAGGGGAGCGUUCUGUAAGCCUGUGAAGGUGGCCUGUGAGGGUUGCUGGAGGUAUCAGAAGUGCGAAUGCUGACAUAAGUAACGAUAAAGCGGGUGAAAAGCCCGCUCGCCGGAAGACCAAGGGUUCCUGUCCAACGUUAAUCGGGGCAGGGUGAGUCGACCCCUAAGGCGAGGCCGAAAGGCGUAGUCGAUGGGAAACAGGUUAAUAUUCCUGUACUUGGUGUUACUGCGAAGGGGGGACGGAGAAGGCUAUGUUGGCCGGGCGACGGUUGUCCCGGUUUAAGCGUGUAGGCGUGUGUUCCAGGUAAAUCCGGUUCACUUUAACACUGAGGCGUGAUGACGAGGCACUACGGUGCUGAAGCAACAAAUGCCCUGCUUCCAGGAAAAGCCUCUAAGCAUCAGGUAACAUCAAAUCGUACCCCAAACCGACACAGGUGGUCAGGUAGAGAAUAC
rnacentral:rRNA from 1 species